AACCUGUAUCUUGAACUGUCACCGGAUGGUGGCGUGGCUAGGACAUCUAGCAUAGAGACAUGGUUGGAA
rnacentral:ncRNA from 1 species